rnacentral:lncRNA from 1 species
AUGGUGGCCACAAAGAAGAUAACAAAGUCUCUGGAGUUGAUCAACUCUGGUUAUGAAAAAUGGAAAGUACGUACUGGGGUACAAGCACACUCUGAAGAUGAUCAGACAUGGCAAAGCAAAAUUAGUCAUCCCCACUAACAAUUGGCCAGCUUUGAGGAAAUCCAAAAUAGAGAACUAUGCAAUGUUGGCCAAAACUAAUGUCCAUCACUAUAGUGAAAAUAGUAUUGAAUUGGGCACGGCAUGAGAAAAAUACUACAGAUUAUGCACAGUGGCUGUCAUUGAUCUAGAUGAUUCUGAUAUCAUUAGAAGCAUGCCAAAAUAGGCUGGUGAGAAAUAA